CUCGUAGGUGGUUCGUUACGUCGGAUGUGAAAAUCUGGGGCUCAACCCCAGACCUGCAUCCGAUACGGUCGAGCUAGAGUUUGGUAGGGGAGACUGGAAUUCCUGGUGUAGCGGUGGAAUGCGCAGAUAUCAGGAGGAACACCAAUGGCGAAGGCAGGUCUCUGGGCCAAUACUGACACUGAGGAGCGAAAGCGUGGGGAGCGAACA
rnacentral:rRNA from 1 species